AUUGAACGCUGGCUGCAUGCCUUACACAUGCAAGUCGAACGGCAGCACGGGGGCAACCCUGGUGGCGAGUGGCGAACGGGUGAGUAAUACAUCGGAACGUGCCAAGUCGAGGGGGAUAACUACGCGAAAGCGUAGCUAAUACCCCAUACGAACUCUGGUUGAAAGCGGCGGACCGCAAGGCAUUGCGCGGUUGGACCGGCCGGUGGCAGGUUAGGUAGUUGGUGGGCUAACGGCUCACCAAGCCGAGGAUCGGUAGCUGGUCUGAGUGGACGUCCAGCUACACUGGGACUGAGACACCGCCCGGGCUCCUACGGGAGGCAGCAGUGGGGAAUUUUGGACGCUGGGCGCAAGCCUGAUCCAGCCAUUCCGCGUGCAGGAUGAAGGCCCUCGGGUUGUAAACUGCUUUUGUACGGAACGAAAAGGCGCCGGUUAAUACCUGGCGCACAUGACGGUACCGUAAGAAUAAGCACCGGCUAACUACGUGCCAGCCGCCGCCGUAAAAC
rnacentral:rRNA from 1 species